UACGAAGGGGGCGAGCGUUAUUCGGAAUCACUGGGCGUAAAGCGUGCGUAGGCUGCUCUGCAAGUCAGAAGUGAAAGCCCAGGGCUCAACCCUGGAAUUGCUUUUGAAACUGCAGGGCUCGAAUUCGGGAGAGGAUAGCGGAAUUGUCAGUGUAGCAGUGAAAUGCGUAGAUAUUGACAGGAACACCAGUGGCGCAAGCGGCUAUCUGGACCGAUAUUGACGCUGAGGCACGAAAGCGUGGGGAGCGAACAGG
rnacentral:misc_RNA from 1 species